UCAGGGUGUGCUUAAGAAAACCCAGAUUUGCAUGAAGACACCCCCCUCCCUCCCCAGCCCCAUCUCAGGCUCACAGGGAGAGGAUAAGAGGGGCCUGGCAGAGCCCGGACCCAGCUGGUUCUCUCUGGGGAGCAGAGCUCUCAGGGUCUCCUGCACCAUGGCCUGGCUUCUUGUCUGCCUCCUCCUGCUCACCUGCUGCUCAGGUUCCUUCCCCCAGCCUGUGCUGACUCAGGCUCCCUCCAUGUAUGUGUCCUUGGGAGCCACGGCCAGACUCUCCUGCACCCUCAGCAGUCAGCACAGUGAUUAUGGAAUUGCAUGGCACCAGCAGAGCCCAAGAAAGGCCCCUCGGUACCUCAUGUAUGUCAGCAGCAGUGGAAGUGCAGGCAAGGGCCAGGGGGUCCCUGACCGCUUCUCGUGCUCCAGCUCUGGGGCUCAUCGCUACUUGUCCAUCAGCAGCCUCCAGCCUGAGGACGGGGCCCAUUACUACUGCAGGGCACCUUAUGGUAGUAAUAAUAACUAUGGUUACCACAGUGCUACAUUCAGUGAGAAAGUGGGACAAAAACCUCCCUGCCAGCCCUGAUGUGGCCCAGGGUCUGACAACAGCCCAGGCUGCCAGGUGACAAGAAUAAGUAGUACCUUUUCUCUCUGUUUCCUCUUCUCCCACACUUUUUCUUUCUUCCUCUUUCUGUCUCUGCCUCUAUAUCUAGA